GAAUAGCGUCAGGGACACCUGUUACUAUUUUCACUGCCCAAUAACCAAUUUGGUCCCAAGGUAAGGAAUAACCAGUUACGCCAAAAGAUGCAGUUAAUACAGCCAGAACCACACCUGUAACCCAAGUCAAUUCGCGAGGUUUUUUAAAUCCACCGGUGAGAUACACACGAAAUACAUGCAGGAUCAUCAUUAGGACCAUCAUACUUGCCGACCAUCGAUGAACGGAUCGGAUUAACCAACCAAAGUUAGCUUCAGUCAUUAUGUAUUGAACAGAAGCAAAAGCCUCAGUAACGGUCGGACGAUANAGUGAUCUUAUUACAGGAAUAGCGUCAGGGACACCUGUUACUAUUUUCACUGCCCAAUAACCAAUUUGGUCCCGAGGUAAGGAAUAACCAGUUACGCCAAAAGAUGCAGUUAAUACAGCCAGAACCACACCUGUAACCCAAGUCAAUUCGCGAGGUUUUUUAAAUCCACCGGUGAGAUACACACGAAAUACAUGCAGGAUCAUCAUUAGGACCAUCAUACUUGCCGACCAUCGAUGAACGGAUCGGAUUAACCAACCAAAGUUAGCUUCAGUCAUUAUGUAUUGAACAGAAGCAAAAGCCUC
rnacentral:lncRNA from 1 species